rnacentral:lncRNA from 1 species
CGGAAAAUCGCGUUGGAUCGCGAAGGGUUUUAAAUUAUCCUUCUUCGGAGUCCACUUGUAUCUAGGAAAACACGAUACCAAUAAUAGAAAUGAGGACUAUGAAAAUAUAAAUAUAACUUGGAACAGAAAAUGUCUCUUCGCUCGUGGUAAACAUUAUAAUAUAGUAUGGCGCCUGUGCGUGUAAAAUAUUAUCUUCUCGAGGGGACCAACGUGUCUUUUAUACAAUUAAAUAAGACUUCAUUUCAUCUCG